AUUGAACGCUGGCGGCAGGCCUAACACAUGCAAGUCGAGCGGAGCGGCGGACGGGUGAGUAAUGCCUAGGAAUCUGCCUGGUAGUGGGGGAUAACGUCCGGAAACGGGCGCUAAUACCGCAUACUAUCAGAUGAGCCUAGGUCGGAUUAGCUAGUUGGUGGGGUAAAGGCCUACCAAGGCGACGAUCUGUAGCGGGUCUGCGAGGAUGAUCCGCCACACUGGGACUGAGACACGGCCCAGACUCCUACGGGAGGCAGCAGUGGGGAAUAUUGGACAAUGGGGGGAACCCGGAUCCAGCCAUGCCGCGUGUGUGAAGAAGGCCUUAUGGUUGUAAAGCACUUUAAGCGAGGAGGCGUUACCAACAGAAUAAGCACCGGCUAACUUCGUGCCAGCAGCCGCGGUAAUAC
rnacentral:rRNA from 1 species